GGGCCUAUAGCUCAGUGGUAGAGCCACCGGCUCAUAACCGGUUGGUCCUUGGUUCGAACCCAAGUGGGCCCA
rnacentral:tRNA from 2 species